rnacentral:rRNA from 1 species
AGCGGUGGAGCAUGUGGUUUAAUUCGAUGCAACGCGAAGAACCUUACCUGGUCUUGACAUCCACAGAACUUUCCAGAGAUGGAUUGGUGCCUUCGGGAACUGUGAGACAGGUGCUGCAUGGCUGUCGUCAGCUCGUGUUGUGAAAUGUUGGGUUAAGUCCCGCAACGAGCGCAACCCUUAUCCUUUGUUGCCAGCGGUCCGGCCGGGAACUCAAAGGAGACUGCCAGUGAUAAACUGGAGGAAGGUGGGGAUGACGUCAAGUCAUCAUGGCCCUUACGACCAGGGCUACACACGUGCUACAAUGGCGCAUACAAAGAGAAGCGGCCUCGCGAGAGCAAGCGGACCUCAUAAAGUGCGUCGUAGUCCGGAUUGGA